rnacentral:rRNA from 1 species
GACGAACGCUGGCGGCGUGCUUAACACAUGCAAGUCGAACGGAAAGGCCCUGCUUUUGUGUGGUGCUCGAGUGGCGAACGGGUGAGUAACACGUGAGUAACCUGCCCUUGACUUUGUGAUAACUUCAGGAAACUGGGGCUAAUACCGGAUAGGAGCUGCUGCUGCAUGGUGGGGGUCGGAAAGUUUCGGCUGUUGGGGAUGGACUCGCGGCUUAUGAGCUUGUUGGUGGGGUAGUGGCUUACCAAGGCUUUGGAGGGUAGCCGGCAUGAGAGGGUGAACGGGGACCAUGGGACUGCGGUAGGGACCAGUCUCGAACGGGAGGCAGUAGUGGGAAACCUUGUCCAGUGAGGGGGAGUGUGAGGAGGAAACGCUGGGUGCGGAAAGCAGUCCUUGUGGUGGUAAACCGCAGUCGCCUAUGACGAAGCGUGAGUGACGGUACUGAGAGAAGAAGCACCGGCUAACUACGUG